rnacentral:rRNA from 1 species
GAUGAACGCUGGCGGCGUGCUUAACACAUGCAAGUCGAACGAAGCACCUGAGAACGAUUCUUCGGAUGAAGUCUCUUGUGACUGAGUGGCGGACGGGUGAGUAACGCGUGGGUAACCUGCCUCACACAGGGGGAUAACAGUUGGAAACGACCGCUAAUACCGCAUAACCCGCUGGUGCCGCAUGGCACUGACGGAAAAGAUUUAUCGGUGUGAGAUGGACCCGCGUCUGAUUAGCCAGUUGGCAGGGUAACGGCCUACCAAAGCGACGAUCAGUAGCCGGCCUGAGAGGGUGAACGGCCACAUUGGGACUGAGACACGGCCCAGACUCCUGCGGGAGGCAGCAGUGGGGAAUAUUGCACAAUGGGGGAAACCCUGAUGCAGCGACGCCGCGUGAGUGAAGAAGUAUUUCGGUAUGUAAAGCUCUAUCAGCAGGGAAGAAAAUGACGGUACCUGAUUAAGAAGCCCCGGCUAACUACGUGCCAGCAGCCGCGGUAAUACGUAGGGGGCAAGC